AUUGAACGCUGGCGGCAGGCCUAACACAUGCAAGUCGAACGAACCCUUCGGGGUUAGUGGCGGACGGGUGAAUAACACGUGGGAACGUGCCUUUAGGUUCGGAAUAACUCAGGGAAACUUGUACUAAUACCGAAUGUGCCCUUCGGGGGAAAGAUUUAUCGCCUUUAGAGCGGCCCGCGUCUGAUUAGCUAGUUGGUGAGGUAAAGGCUCACCAAGGCCACGAUCAGUAGCUGGUCUGAGAGGAUGACCAGCCACAUUGGGACUGAGACACGGCCCAAACUCCUACGGGAGGCAGCAGUGGGGAAUCUUGCGCAAUGGGCGAAAGCCUGACGCAGCCAUGCCGCGUGGAUGAUGAAGGUCUUAGGAUUGUAAAAUCCUUUCACCGGUGAAGAUAAUGACUGUAGCCGGAGAAGAAGCCCCGGCUAACUUCGUGCCAGCCGCCGCGGUAAUAC
rnacentral:rRNA from 1 species